rnacentral:tRNA from 1 species
UAGAAAGAAGCUCGUAGGUUAGAGAAUUUAGCUGUUAACUAAGUUUUUGUGGGAUCAAGGCCCACCUUUCUAG